GACGAACGCUGGUGGCGUGCCUAAUACAUGCAAGUCGAGCGGACCAAUAGAAGCUUGCUUCUGUUGGUUAGCGGCGGACGGGUGAGUAACACGUGGGCAACCUGCCUGUAAGACUGGGAUGACUUCGGGAAACCGGAGCUAAUACCGGAUAAUUCAUCCCCUCGCAUGAGGGGAUGCUGAAAGUCGGUUUACGCUGACACUUACAGAUGGGCCCGCGGCGCAUUAGCUAGUUGGUGAGGUAAUGGCUCACCAAGGCGACGAUGCGUAGCCGACGUGAGAGGGGGAUCGGACAAACUGGGACUGAGACACGGCCCAGACUCCUACGGGAGGCAGCAGUAGGGAAUCUUCCACAAUGGACGAAAGUCUGAUGGAGCAACGCCGCGUGAGCGAUGAAGGCCUUCGGGUCGUAAAGCUCUGUUGUUAGGGAAGAACAAGUAUCGGAGUAACUGCCGGUACCUUGGCGGUACCUAACCAGAAAGCCACGGCUAACUACGUGCCAGCAGCCGCCGCAG
rnacentral:rRNA from 1 species